GACGAACGCUGGCGGCGUGCUUAACACAUGCAAGUCGAACGGAAAGGCCCUGCUUUUGUGGGGUGCUCGAGUGGCGAACGGGUGAGUAACAUGUGAGUAACCUGCCCUUGACUUUGGGAUAACUUCAGGAAACUGGGGCUAAUACCGGAUAGGAGCUCCUGCUGCAUGGUGGGGGUUGGAAAGUUUCGGCGGUUGGGGAUGGACUCGCGGCUUAUCAGCUUGUUGGUGGGGUAGUGGCUUACCAAGGCUUUGACGGGUAGCCGGCCUGAGAGGGUGACCGGCCACAUUGGGACUGAGAUACGGCCCAGACUCCUACGGGAGGCAGCAGUGGGGAAUAUUGCACAAUGGGCGGAAGCCUGAUGCAGCAACGCCGCGUGCGGGAUGACGGCCUUCGGGUUGUAAACCGCUUUCGCCUGUGACGAAGCGUGAGUGACGGUAAUGGGGAAAGAAGCACCGGCUAACUACGG
rnacentral:rRNA from 1 species